rnacentral:rRNA from 1 species
UUUGCACCUCAUAUCAAGCAAGACUACCCGCUGAACUUAAGCAUAUCA